GCAGUCCCUCCCGGCUGCCAAAUGGGCUACUCCUCUCCUCUGAGCCCGAGCUUCUGAAAGGUGCGUCCUUUCCGUCACCGCCCCAGCCGGCCUUGCGGGCACUGCAGGGCGUCCCUGCAGCCAAGCCAGCCUCCCGGGCUCAGCCCCUCGCCUCCAGCGGGCGCCGCGAACUGCGCAGGCGGGGGCGACCCGCUCGCUCUCCCACCUGCUUGCUCACGUGGCCACCUGGGCGACCCCGCCUCAUCCUGCCCGCCGCCCCCCACCCCCAUCAAGGCACCAUGGUCUGGUGCCUCGGUCACUCCUGCAGCCGGUUACAGACAUUUGAUAUUUUGGUGGCAUUUUCCUAUUAACAGAAAACAAAGUUACUGAAAACUCAGACUUUACAGAAAUGCACAAAUUAGAAUGGAAGGAAUCACCAAAGCCCCACCUCCAGAUAAACUUGUACAGACGCCAAUCUGUCUGGACGCCCCCUUCGCAUGGGUGGAUGAGGCUGAAUCGACCACUGUGACAGGUGACUGCCGUCAGGGCUCUAGUCUACAAUUCUCCAUGAACCUGGGGGUGCUGCUUCAGAAAGAGCCUAAAAAGUGUGUCCACUGGAUCAAAGGGCACCCGUGUCCACAGAUUCAGCAGUUACUGAGCAGAAAUCCUGCACUCAGCUUCUGGCUCCUCUUUGACUCCAGAGAGAGGCGUUGCCAUUUCCAGGUGGAAGUACCCUUUUUCUCCUGGUUCGGGUGCAACGUGUUCAAGAAAGUCUCGGGUCCUGUUUCUUCUCCCGAUGCCCUGCUGGCUGGGCGGUCUUAGCCCCUCUCCUGGGAGCUCCUGGAUCGUGUGCCGGGCUCCGCUGUUGAGACCCAAGGACAGAGUGGGCUCAUCCCACUAGAACGACCGCAAAGAAGAACACUCCUUCCCUGCAUCGGCGGCUUCGUGUCACAGGGGGCUUCAAACGGAAGAGGAGGAGGAGCCCACGCACAUACACGCAGGUGCACCACACGCACGCACACGCAUGCACACAGACGCCAGACUCUUCCAGCCGGAGCUACAGGACUUUGCGGACCUGGGCACGCAGCCCAUCCCUCUGCCCGUCCCUCUUUCCUCGGCCAGCAAGUCCCUGCAGGGCUGCACCUCUGUGGACGACAGUGGCCACACAAGCCAGGUCCUAGCUCUGUCCUGCGUCCCAGCCUUCUUAUUUUCAGGCUCAUUGCGCCUUCCAGAAGGAACGUCCAUACGCUCCGGCCCUGACGGAACUCUCGGACAUCCAGCCCUGUUUGAGCCCCGCUCAGGACAGGUGAGGCCCCCGCCACCAGGCAGCACUCCGGGCCUUCCAGCCUUGCAGCCGCUGCGAGCUGCUUCCUUCGAGAGUUUCUGAGCAGGUGUUGUGAAAAUAAUGAUUAUGUGGUUUGGCAGAUUCGAUCUCUGCAGCUAAUUGUUGACACUGAGUUUGUAUUACCCAAUACUUUGGGGUGGGGGACAAAAUAAUGCUAUUUUCUAGCCAGUAAGCCAG
ensembl:lncRNA